UGUGGUAGAGGUGCAUCGAUUAUCAGUACACUGUGGGAUAUGACAGGACAUAGGUGAACACAGAGGAAAGGAUGAGAUGCCGAAGCGGCGGUUGCCUGGGAAUCGUCUGCUGGGGCCGGGGUGAACAGCUCCGGGACUGUCAUCAUGUAUUUGAUGGAGGGCUACCGG
rnacentral:ncRNA from 1 species